UUUUUUUUUUUUUUUUUUGCCUGUUCAACCCCCUCGCAGCGUCACCGCUGGCGAUUUUUGGGAGAGGCGGAGCGAUAACAAAACCAGCAACCAUCGGCUCUGUCAUCCAUUCAAGUUCUCAAACACGCAGUCAACGUAAUUAAGAAAAUGCACUUGUGGCUUAUUGGGCGCUAUUUGGAGAAGAAAACAACGAGUUUGAAUAGACGCAAUGCAAGAGUACAAAUCAAACUACAUCAUGUAAGGCGUAAGUUAUAGUUGACUGAAGAGACUCGAAAGACAAAUGUACCUGGAGGUAAGGCAGGUACUAAAGGUGAUAAGAUGAACAUUUUUUUUAAGAGUACUGCAAGAGUUUUACCGAUAAUUUAUUAGAGAGGGAAAAGGAACAACAUACAGCCAAAUACAACUUCAAGAAAAAGAGGAACAAUUCUUCUUCUUUUGCAACAAAAGAGAGAUACAACUUGAUGGAAAAGUGCCGGGUGAGCGAGCAAUGUUUAUUGUAGUUCAGUCAAUUAAUAGGGAAGUUGUAUAGGUGCCAAUGAAGGAUUGCUCAAGGAGCUAAAAUUUCAGUUUCAACCAAAACUUGUGACCUGUGAAGCACUUCGAAAAAUAAAAUGACCAAUUGUCCUGGGAUAGUAACAUUAGUACCGUACAGAUUCCGUAAAAAAUCAGGACAAAACGUUGUACGUCCUGUAUGUACGUCUAGGUCCAGUAAUAAACUGUAAAAGGUCAACGAAUUUCACAGGACACUUGACAGUACAAAUGAACUAUUUAAGCCCAUGACGUCUCACACCCGCAAAAAGAACUACUUAAGCCCAUGGGCCGAAUGGAAAGCCGUACGUAUAUGAGCUUGAUGGAUGGCUUCAAUUUGGGCCUUAUGAGUUCGCAUGUGAAAAGUUAGGUCCAGUAAAAGGUCAACGAAUUUCACAGGACAUUUGGCAGUACAAAUAAACUAUUUAAGCCCAUGGGCCGAAUGGAAGCCGUACAUUAUAUGAGCUUGUGAUGAUGGAUGGAUUGAAUUUUGGGCCCAAUGAGUUCGCAUGUGAAAAGUUUACCUCGCGCACCCGAUUAGGAAAUGGUGGUUCGGAUCACAAGGAAUCGUUUUUUUUUUUGAGUAACGGGAUCACAAGGAAUCGUAGAGAUAAGGAUAGAACUAAUUCAGAAUUCAGGGAAUUAGAGCAUCUCCGAGAUGUAUAAAAAAUAGCUCUAAAAAUUUCUAAAUAAAAUUUUAAAAAAUAAUUUUUAGACCUUGCCGAAAAACUAUUAGGAGGGAAAAAUACCUCUUCAAACAACAAUUUCAAAAUUUUGGUCCAGAAAAGACUAAAUUCUUAUCCCAUCAUCAUAAAGCUUGAUUUUUCUAGUAAUUCGUACCCUUUGUUCAUAGGUUUUGGGAGCAUGGAGUGGAGGCCAAAUUUAAGUUCAAGAUGGAGUUGGUAUUGGACAACGAAAAAGUUGGGAAUAGAAUUAGACAACUUUUGGUGUAUUAUUUUUUUAACCUUUGUUCCUAAAACUAACUGUUGAAAUUAUAUAUCAAAAAUUUUUGGAGAUGCUCUUAUAUCCAUCAAUCUCUAUCCUCCUGCUGAACCCUAUCAAAUCGCUUCAUAUACUCUAACAAACUCAUAGUAUUGUAUAAUUUGGAAGGUCGUUUUGAUGGGGUUGAAACAGCUAUGAAAAUCGCAAAAAAGAGAGAAAACAUGUGUACACUAUCGGUGAAUUUUUUUUAUUUUUAACUAGCCACGGCGCAUGGCGCGACUAAAAGAGUCACGCCGUGCAAAUAAAGUUGGGAUUAGGAUGGGGUAUUUUUAAAAUAUCUUUAAAAAGUUAAAAAUAAAAAAAAAUCAUUAUCGGUGGACGGUGGUGCGGCGAAGCCGGUCAACUGAAGCUUCGCUUUCCCGGCGGCCGUUUGGCUCUUCUCCGUUUCAUGCGCGCCUCGCCGUUGCUAUAAAGCCUACCACCCCCAAGCCCCCAACUGCAAGGAGAUAGAAAGAGAGGCCGAGCGCCAAUUAUGAAGCCCUCGCGUUGCCUCUGCCUGCUUUUCCUGGCCUCCAUCCUCGUGGCCUCGUCGGCCGUCGUCACCGUGUCGCCGAAGGAGACCGCCGAGGAGAAGAAGGCCUGGGCGGCGCCGGCGCCGGCGGCGGUGGAGCCCGAUGAGGCCUUCCUCGCCCGCCUCUGCGACGAGCAGCGGCGCGGGCGGGUCCUCCCGUGGUGCAAGCAGCUGCACGCCAGGCGCCGCGGCGGCGCCCACCACCGCUACCUGCCGAUGUCGCCCCCCAGCCGCGACGGCGAGGAGAUCGACCCGCGCUACGGCGUGUCCAAGCGGCUCGUGCCGAGCGGGCCCAACAGGCUGCACAACUGAACUGAUCGUGCGACGCGCGGCUCCGUGAUUGAUGCGCGCGCGCGGCCGUCAGUUUUUCUUGCUAGCUAGUUUCCUUAUUUCCCUUUCUUUUCUUUUUUCCUAGGAUUCUUGCAUUGCUAGCUUUCUUUGUGUCAUUGGUUUCGUUCAAGCCUAGAUUGCUGGAAAGGGUUGACAAUGGAGGAUGAUGCAUGCGCCGUGAAGCAUACUCGAUCGAGCUCGGAUCUUCGUUUACCAUAUAUAGAUCCAAUCUUAGUAGCAUGCACUCCAUUGAUAAUGAAGACAUGUAGGUUAAAAAUCUACCGUAGGUCGGUUGGUUUCUUUUGUAGUGAUAAUAAUGUACCUUAGAGUACUAUAUACAUCUUGCUUGAUUUGUCCUUUCAAGUUCUUGUUCAUGCAUGCGUUGGCUCUUGUUGUAAGCUUGCCGGAAAGGUCAAGUUUCGUGUUCAUAUCCACGCGCUCGAUCUCUCAGACUCCUACUACACGCUUACUGGGCAUGUGAGUUUCUGUUCCUGUUCUGCUUAAUUUCACUGUGUGUUCUGCAAAGGCAACCACCAGUGUUCUUUGCAGGCUCCGACAGUGGAGUAGUGCUAGUUAAUGUGGUCCAGCUCUUCCUGUGAUGAAAAAGCCGAGUAGUUCGAGAAAAUAACUUCUCACAGCCAUUUUGCCUUUGUACUAACUGCUCACUUAACUCCGAGUUGUAUUGUAGCAAUUGCGUUAAUCCCCUUCGAUUCAGUUCUCGCGAUUUCACGGUGGAUAGAUAGUGAACGCCUACAUUUUAAAGAUAGUUCUAAAGAUAGAAUAGAUUUGAUCCAAAAUUUACUGGUAAUGUAGUUACGGCAUGUUCCAUCACUAAUUAAGGUGGCGAGGUGCUUUGUACCAGAAUUAUUGAAGAUCUGAUUUCAACUUGCAGCUACAGCCGGCCGUUUUGGUGACUUUUUCAGGCUAUUAAUGUGUUGUUCAGCCUUCACCGAUGCGUGAGAUCAGCUGGACAGGCCCUGGUCGACAGUUCGACACUUCCAUGAAUUGAGGGUAAUGGCUGACUCUUUAUUCAGGUGUACUAGGUUCCGCACUUUCCAGCUCAAUUCAGUCAAGAAAAAGCCGAUGUGCAAUAAACUGAACUGAGCUGGUGUUCGGAAAGCACUUCACCUUCACUGCAGGUGGUGCAAAACUGCGCUCAUCCAAUCUCCGUUCGUGGAAAAUGCAUUCAUCCAGUAAGCGCUGGGAUCCGUGCAAAGAAUAAUGCAGGAUCAGGGCAGUCCAACGAAAUAGUAAACUACUCUUUCAAUGCAAACACCACUAUUUCAUAUUUGAAUUUUAUACUACUCACCUCUUAUUAUGUCUUAGAUGGUGUGUAAAAACUAGGUCUCAUGCAAGAUUUAGUUUCCUUCUCUUUCUUAUCCUAGUUGGUAGCUCAUUUAAUUUUAUGGAUACCAUUCCGGUCAUUAGGUUGGGAGGAACUCAGAACACACUGUGGUUGGUUUUCUUUUUUUUAUAAAAGAAAAAGGAACAAAAGGGAAAUAGUAGCCCAGCCCUAUAAACCAUCGUUGCCCAUUCGGGCCUGGUCCAGCCUAUCCUAUACGGGCCAUGGCCCAACUCAUGAAGCGAAACCAAACGGCGCCACCCGGUUCUUUCGGUGCGGGCCUUCCCUGCGCGCUUGGUCCCGCCCCAUUUGCAUCGGGCGCGUUUGGCAGCCUGCAACGCCUCAGCCAGACCCACGAGUCAAGGCUCGAGCAAGACAGGUCAUAUCCAUGAAAUGCAGAGAUGUUAAUUAGCAAAUAUACACCCUAUAGUGCUAGUUGGGUUGGGAAUUUUUUUGAGCUGCACAGUAAAAUGGGCUUACCUUGUAUUGAGAAAGUGGUAGAGUUACCACAAUCUUCCUCCUCCCAGCACGUGCUGCCGCGCCUCCGGCUGCCACGCGUCGCGGCCUCCUCCCAACACGUGCCACCGCGCGCCACGACCUCCUCCCGCACGCGCCGCAGCGCCACCUCAGCUUCGCCUCGGCACCGCUGUCGCUCGGCCAGCGAGCUCGGCCGCUCGCCCUCGCCGCCGCCGCUUAGCCACGUCCCCCGCCGGAGAUUGUCAUAGUGGAAGUGGAGUGCGGCUUGGGGGGACGAGAUUGCGAGCGCUGGCCGUUGGGAUGGAGCUGUGGGCACCUUCUCCUUGUGCCUUCCUCUCCUCCGAUCGUGACGGCAGCGGCGGUCGGCUCUUGCGGGGCCCGCCUAGCCUCCCCUUCGUCGUGGUGCUACCGCUCGUCGACCCGGCCCCGCACGACGAAGGUGCUCGCAUGUGCUCAAUGGUGGGCAUGACGGGUGGCUCGGCGAUAGGAACAGAGAAGAGGCAUCGAGCGUGGGACGAAGACGGAGACAGCCUGCGAGCAUGGCGCUGCUGCCAACACCAGGGAGAUGCAGAUGCUGCCUUGCUCCACCACUUCGGCGGUCGUCGCGUCACCUUUGCGCUCUCCUCCCUCUUGUAGCUGCUCCCCGCCAUGACCUGCCAGUCGACGCAGGUGAAGGGGAACCAACAAAGGAGUCGGCGGCGAAGAACAGAGGAAGGUGAGCGUGUUUUGGUGUGUGACGAGAAUAUACUAAGGAUCACCGCAACGAGGCCAUCGAGCCUGCAUCGCGUGGAAUGACCGAUUUUAGCGUUUCACGCGGUGCAGCCUGACGGGCCUCUUUUGCAUCGCGUGAAUCUGGCCUGGGAGGCUAACUAGGAUGGCGAACACAGCUGGUUGCACCAACUAGCUGAACCUGGCCCAACCUCCGUCCGGGCCAACAUACGAGCCCUUCCUCUCCAAGUCCAGAGCGAGCGGUUCGGCGAAGUUUGCAAGUUGCGGAGCGGCUGCAACUCGCCUUGCCUGAUGGGGCGGCUGCGCGCUUUCUGCCGUCUCCGCCGCCUCCUCGCGCCGCCGCCGCCACAAGCACCACCACCGGGUCACUCUCUGGCGCGCGGGCCCCACGCCACUGCCGCCCACGCCUCGCCCUUCUCGAGGCUCUUCUCGUCGGCCUCGGCGGUCGCGGCCGUCGCGCCCCACGAGGCCCGAGACUCGGGUUUCGGCGGCUCAGCGUACUGGGCCUGGAUUCGCGCGGCGACGGAGUCGGCUCCGGCGCCCGCGCUUCCGCCGGAGGAGGAGGACGAGGGCCCGGAGCGGUACAUCCCCGUCAAGGCCUACUUCCUCUCCACCAGGUAAGCACGCCGCGUCACGCCAACGCUUGCUUGAUUGGUGUUUGAUGAUUUAUCUGUGGGGGGAAACGUUGAGUGCUACCGUGCUAUUUCGAAGUUGCGCACGCCCAAUAGGCCAGCGAACUAAAAUGAUGGGUUUUCCUUUGAUUUUUCUCUCCACUUUGUGGCAGCAUUGAUCUGAAGAGCAUGCAAGCAGAGCAUGGUAGUGAUAUUGUACCUCCAUCGACCCGUUUGCUCAACUACAUUGCGCUUCGGUACUCCGAAUUCCCGCCUGAGAUUAUGGUUAGUGAUUACAGUUUAGCAUCACCUUUGUUUGGGGGCCUAUUGAAAUCUAGAAUUAACUGAUCUCAGGCACAUGCGGGCCCCUUUUGGACAUGCUGUUGUGACAUUGACCUAUGCUGCAGAAAUUGAUAUCCUUGUGAUUUUGGUUGAUACUUGUGCAGGACAUUGGAGUGAAGGACAGCAGAUUUUGCUAUCGCUAUGUGGUUGUUUUCCAAUAUGGUUCUGCUGUGCUUUUCAACAUUGCUGAUCAUGAAGCUGAAUACUAUCUUGAUAUAAUUAGGAAACAUGCUUCAGGAUGGCUUCCGGAGAUGAGAAAAGAUGGUACGUCCAUGCAAUUCACUCCCAGUUCAUAUGUAUUAUCUGCUAAACUGAGUUCUGUUUGCUGCUUUUUAGUUGUCUCCUUUUCCUGUGUUCCUUGAUAACAUCAGUAUGAACAGAAAACAAUCCAUUUUGCCUUCUAUAAUAUUCAAAGAUACUAUUCCAUGCAUUCUAUAGAACUUAACUUAAAGAGAAUCAUUCCGUGCCUAGGCUGUGCUUUAUAUGUGUUUUUAAACCUGAAAUAAGUUUCCACUGCUUCCCUUUCACUGAGACUGUAAUGGUGCUUUGUUGUACAGUCCCAGGAACUGUCCUGCUUAAUUUCUCAUUGAUGGCAUCUAUUUUGCAAUAAACAGAUUAUGCAGUGGUUGAGAAACCGUCGCUAACAACAUGGAUGAAAGGAGGUCUUGAUUAUAUAGUUCUUAAAAGUUUAGACACUGAUGGGAUUCGCAUAAUUUCAAGUGUUCUUGGUCAAAGUAUUGCCCUUGAUCAUUAUAUCCGGCAGGUACUGAAAUUGAGCAAAGCUAAUGAUCUUUUGCAUGGUGAUUGUAUCAUUAAAACUGUCUAAAAGUUGUGAACUUCUAAAACACUAAUGUUGAUAGGUUGAUGAUAUGGUUGAGGAAUUCACUGAAAUUAAUCGUGUCAUGGAGAAGACUGGCAACUUCACCAUGCAGAGAAAGAAGCUCUUUCAACUUGUAGGCAAGGCUAAUUCCAAUCUUGCAGAUGUUAUCAUCAGACUUGGUCUUUUUGACAGGUAUGUCUUGAACACUAAAGCACUAUAUUCAUUUUAGGUUGGCUCCAUCUCCUGUACAACAUGUAUGAAGUUAAAUAUUUUAUGUAUGGAAGAAUGUGUCGGUAUCAUUGAGGGAUUUUUCUGUAGGAUGGAAGGUGUUUAAUUCUAGAUGCUAGAUAUUGCUUGCCUAUAGACCAGUGUUAUGCGCACAUGCUAUUCACAUUUGGAGAAAAGUUAUCACGUGGGGUUUAUGCUGUUAGUUUGGAGUUUCUUCCACUGCAUUGAGUAAAGAUUGAUGAUUUUGAUCAUCGUACUUAGAAAUUGGAUAUUACUAUGUCGCAGUACUCACUGUUUUAAAAGCAUUGUGCUUGCCAUGCGCAGAUUAUAUCAUAUUUUUGUUGGCUCUGUUGCAUUGACCACAUGUUUCUGCUUUGACUCACUGGUUGCUUUUGUAAAUGCAAUUUUGCUUGUGGGGACAUGUACCUUCUGUCAUUUAACGACAUGAGUUUUCCCCAGGUCAGAAAUUGCCUGGAAAAAUGCAAAUUAUGCACAAAUUCUGGAGUAUCUUCGGGAGGAAUAUGAACUGAAUCAGCGUUUUGGAAGCCUCGACUUCAAACUGAAAUUUGUGGAGGUAAGUGCCUUGUGUACUCAUUCUUCUAUGGUGCAAUCUGUUUCUUUUUGAGUUUUCGUUUGUGUUUAUAAUUUAUUGUUGUAACAGCACAACAUCCAUUUUCUCCAAGAAGUCCUCCAAAAUAGACGGUCUGAUCUGCUGGAGUGGGGUGUCAUAAUUCUACUGACUAUUGAGAUUGCCAUCUCACUAUAUGAAAUUGUCAAGGAUUCCAACAUGAUCUCUUGAGGGUUCUCUAUCCAACAGAUCUGCGGCACUCUUAUCCACCUUCACCUAACAUCCCGAACCUAUCAUCUUGUUAUGCUAACUCCAGGCUCUCCUGUUCUUAAGAAGAAAAAGGUAAACGAAAAGGAAUACUCUAGAGUUCUCCUCUGUCCUGACACACUGCCACUUUUGAUCUGUAGCCUUAGAUGAAAACAAGUUGGGUAUGCUGCCACUUCCUAUGAUAGCUUACCUUCCUGGGCACUGUGAGCGUUGCAUCUUUGAAUUUCCUUUUUAUCCUUUGAUUCCAGUUCACUACUAACGAAAAAAAGUUAGUCCAAUUUUCGUAUGCCCAAUGAAUUUCAUGGCUGCCAUGGUUUUCAAAUUUAAGCAGAGUACUAGUUUUCCUUCCAGAAUUCAUAUCAGGUGUUCUUGACACAUGCACUUUGCGACAUGUGCCAGGUUUUAGUAUUUCCAUAGGACUGCUACGUCCAAUUUUUGGCAUGGCUUGAGACCAGCAGGCAGCUGCCAACUGGACCUGAUGUAAAGAAAAAAGCUCAUACUAUAGCUUUAUAAUUUGUACAAAUAUGUUUGCGUGGGAAGCCUCCCUUUGGUUUAAAUCUAAAUUGCACCGUCUAUUUCGAAUCUUACACCGGUGAGUGACAGUGACAGUGUAAUGGUUGAGUCACCAUAGGAUUUUUGACUUGUAAUUACCAUGCAUUCAACCACAGUUUUGUAUGUGGUCUUCUUUCACAGUUAAGCGUAGUUGCCUCAGAGCCAUUUUUCUUCUUCCUAGACCGUUACUUGUGUUGGCUUGAUUUUCAAACUUCGGACUUUUUUAGAACAAACUUCAGAAGUUCAGUGUAUGGUUGGUUAGCAGCUGAUGUUCUGUCAAACUGGCAGCUCAGAUCAUGCAGAAGUUCGUGAAAAUCGCCUUAAACCAAUCGCUCGUUUUCAGGAUUAUUUGAUAUUUCCUUCGACACACGACUACGCUAGCCUGCUAAAACUGGGUACCACGGCAGCAAACAGCUGUAGACUACUACUCUGUCAGGAAGGCCAGCCCGGACCCCCAAUGCUUGCGCCUUUCCGUUCACACCCGAAACGGCAACGACCCUAGCAGCAGCAAGGCAGCGAGCCCCACCCACCGCCAGACCCCGGCCGCGGCGCGGGCGCGCGACGCGUGGGACGACGGCGCCAUGGCCGGCGGCAGCGGCGCGGGCUGGACGAGCACGGACACCUUCAUGCCGUUCCAGCAGUAGCCGCGGCUGCAGAUGAAGUAGAACCGGCCGGUACGGUUGAGCUGGAACGGGAAGUUGUGCCCACGGCUGUAGCUCAGGAUCGGGCUGCUGCCGUCGCACCUCGCGUACGCCGUCUCGUUCACCUGCACCACGUCGUACCUGUCCUUCUCGUACUCGAAGUCUGCAGCAUUGCACGCGCGAGUUCUUUUGGUUCAAUUUUUUGUUUGAUAACGCGAAUCUAGAUUAUUCAUCACACGGACGGCGUCUUGGUGGCGUCAAAAGUUUGAACCGGGAGAGAGAAAAGGGAGAUUGGUUAAUACCGAGCCAGUCGCCGACGUAGAACUCGUGCCGGUCCGCCCAGUCGGUGUAGUUGACAUUGGGUGCCCAGCGCUUGCGGUCGCCGACGACGAGCUUCGCCGCGACGGAGAGGGCCGGAGCCGUCGCGAGGAGGAGCAACACCACGACAAGGAGGCGCGGCGGCGUCGCCAUUAUUUCUGGAGGCCGAGAUGCAGAGCGGAACAGGGGGGUGGCGGCCGCGGCGGCGGGCUGGAAUGGAAAUGUGGAAUUCGUGAAUUGAAACGGGCAUUUAUUUAUGGAGUGGAGGAAACGAGAUGUGCGUUCCUCUUUGCUUCUCAACUGGUUUUCGUGUAAAAAGAAAGAAGACGGAAUUGGUUUCUGAACUGGGUUUUCGCCAUGGGUUAAUGCAUUUCGCGUGACCUGUGGACCUGGGGUCCGCGUAUGACAUGGCAUGCGCGAUCAAACCCCCGUGGUUCACCCGACUUUUAGGCCGUGUUUGUAUAGGAUUCUAGAUAGGAUUCUAGUCAUUUUAAUCCAACUAACCUUCCAAACGUUUCGAUUCUCAUUCGAUUCUCCAACAAUCUGAUUUUCCCCCGAGCGGCAGUUAUAACGCGAGACCCACAAUCGGGAGAAUCGGGCGGAGGAGGCGCUUGCGGGAAAAUCCGCUCGAUUCCCGAGCGCGACCGCCCAUCUUCCCCACGCCAUCCCGCUCGUCCGCCGCCGGCCCCUCCUAGCCGGUUCGCGCGCCGCCGCUGGAGGCCCCGCCGACGGCCUCUCCGCGCCCACUAACCUCUGGCGCCUCCGCCUGCUCCAGCCCCAAGCUCCCUCACGCGGCCCGCAGCUUCGGCCGGAGCUCCUCGCUUCAGCCCCCAGCUCCGGCCGACGCUCCCUGCUUCAGCCCCCACCUCCCUCGCGCGGCCCGCAGCUUCGGCCGGUGCUCCCCGCUGCGGCCCCCAGCUCGGCCCGCAGCUCCGGCCGGCGCUCCCCGCUCCGGCCCCUAGCUCCCUCGCUGGCCUGUAGCUCCGGCCGGCGCUCCCGCUCCGGCCCCCCAAAUCCGGUCGCCGCUCCCUGCUCCGGCCGGCACUCCCUCGUGCGGCUCCCAGCUCCGGUGUUGUCGGCGCGCCCCCAACUCCUCUGCUGAAGCUCCCCUGCUGAAACGUCAGGGACAAGCCUCUGUGAAAAAAAUCGACAAUGCCAAACGCUUUGCUUCUCUUGCUAGCGAUUCUUGAGGAAGCAAAUUCUUGUACAAUCAAGCUUCUUGGAAAAUCGAUUCACAGAUAAGCUGAACCAAACACGACCUUAGACGCGGCGGAUCGUGCAGGACAGACUUGUGUGGACCUAUCACCUAUGUGGCCCGGGGAAGCGGGACGGACGCGCGCGCGAGGAAGGCUGAACUAAUCAUGGAGGAUCGGUGGGUGUUGUGUUACAGCCACUGAGGCGCCGCACACCAUGCUGUGGUGAGAGCUCUUGAAGGCUGAAGCUGUCAGACGCCGAGUAGCUGCAGGCACUCGACUACUCGAGUCGACGGCGUCGCGAAGCCGCCGGAAGCCAGCGAGCGAGAGGUUCGUCUAUGGAGACGCGCAUAGGAGUGCUGUCGACGCUCGCGUCGCGGAGAAGGGUGAGCAGGCGCCCGGGAAGCAGCCCCACGAGUAGCGGCGGCGCCGGCGCUCCGGCGAGCGCGAGGCACGGAGCAGAGGAGGCGCGCGUGGAAACCCCCUGCGGCCCUGCCCGGGGUCGGGAGUGGACGGUAUUUCAUUUACCGUCCACCUCUUGUGCCCUUGACAACCGUCAGAUUGGAUCCGUACGGCCUAGAUUCGACAUAAGAGCGAUCGGACAUGGUUGUUCUCCGCCGUGAUGCCCCCCUGCUGGAGGGCGCCGGCAGCCUCACCGCCGGCGGCGGCAGGCGCUUCCAGUAUCGUCGUUGCUCGAUCGGUGCUGUCGACCUCCCGGCCGGCGUUUGGAGCGACCGCCUCUCUAUCGCCCCGCUAAUGUCGCCGAGGAAGUCGAGCAGCGCCGGGCGCCAGGUGCUCGGGGCCGAACGCGCGCAGCUGAUGGCUCAAGGAAUGUCUGGUGCGCCCGCGAGCAGGGCCUCGUCGGUGUGCUCUGGAUCGGCACGCUCGCCGGUAGGACAGGUUCGUACUGCCGCCCGUCAGGGCUGCCGUGCCAAGCUGGAGGGAGGUGGGCCGUCGAGGAAGGCGUUGGAGGAAUUCUUGAUGGCGACGAAGCUCGAGUGAAGUUAACUAAGCUGUCCGUGAAUGAUGACUGUAAAUUUGUAAUGUAUGCCCAUUGGGAUGCGAAGGACGAGCUUGCCUCCUUGGCUCCUCCUAGAUCUGAAUACAAGAUUGGGUUACGGAAAGGGGAAGGAGAGGGAGAGGGAGGAAGAUGAGAGCGGGGUUCUCUUCGCCGGCAAAAAUCCGGUGCUACAUAUCCGAUGGGAGCAGCUGGUCGCUGGUGGCGGAGAUGCGCGCGAUUCGUGAAAGGGGAUAAGCUGUUGUCGUCGUCGUCGCGCAAGCUCGCGAAAGACGAGAAGCCAGCAGAAUGACGGUGGUUGGUUAACCCCCCGUGACUCAGAUAACAGAGCAGCUAAAACAACACAAAGAAACCACUGUAAACAGAUAAGACCGUAAAACAGCGUAACCAGCACCUUAAUUCCGAGAACCAUUCUUUUUUCGAAGUAACCAUUCGGCCUCCGGCUCACAAAGGCACCCCCCACCAACGAAAGUGACCCAGUAUUUGCAUACAGCAUUCAAGCGUUAACAGUACUCACUACAUGCACAUGCGAGUACGCGACAAACUCCACAUGAUGAUUCUGCAUGUUCCUGCCACAACUCCACACACGGUGUAUAUUCUCCAACCUCCCCAAAAGCGGAUACCUACAGACGUUCUGGCUUCAAGUUAUUUUUAAUGCCAGGGAAUUCGAAUCUCGGAGUCUAGAGCGGUAUAAGCAGCAACACUCAAUCCAGCCUCCCAAGCAAGUACGCGACCUGAACCUCCUUGGUUAGCGGCAUGAUUCUCCUGUACAGCCCGGCGACUAUGCUGGGGUUGAUCUUGCACACCGGUGGGGCGCCGUUGGCCUCAGCGCCGAUGUUCACCUCUUGCCCGAAGAUCUUGGCCUUCGCUUCCACCCUGUGCUCGAUAGCACGCUCCACAGUCUCGUAUGUGAGGAGUUGCAUGAGUUGAACAGGGUCCUGAAUUGCGCAGAGCACCACAAGAAAUAGGCAAAUGAGUUGUUUGCAACGGGAUCACAUUAUCGAAUUUGAUCCGAAACUCUGCAGGCAAAACAAAAAAUAGACAUAGUAGUUGUAGACAUAUUUGCACGAAGCAGCAGCACAGACCUGGGCUUUUAUGGCAGGCCUGUAAGCUUCAGGGGACUCUUGAAACUUGGCCUCUGCCACAAACUUCCCAUAGUGGAUUCUUUUAGAGAGUGCCUGAAUGGUAAAACAAGGAACAGUGAAUAAGCGCCAAACUAUACAAAUGCAGAAUUGCACAAGUCACCAGCGAACAUCAGCAUAGUAAACCUUGCAUGGAUUGGUAUUGGAAGAUGUGGUUUGACUUUGUUUCCUAAAAUAUAUUCUUUUAAUCGAAUGAAAACUGCAGCAGAGUAAAAGGAACUUUCACAAUAAACUAGUUGACUACAACACAAGCAGAUGUGCACCCACGGUACUUAAGUGGAGUAAGAGGAUUUGACAUAAAUAUCAGCUGUAAGGUGGAUUAAGAGGAUUUGAAAUGAAUAUCAGCUGUACCUGCAAGAGAGACGUGUCACAGAGAGCACUGGAUCCAUAAUUGCCAUCGCUUCCUUCUUUCGCCAACCUUGGAAGAAGUUCAUCGAAAUACAGCUUCCAAAUCUUUUUGUUGAUGUUAAUAGAAUCAGCAACGGGAUGCAGAACCUAUGCAAAGGAUGAGGGUGAAGUAUGAAUCCAUAUGAAGUUUACUAACAUGGACAUAAGAUCAGGAUAUCUCAUUAGCAUUAUGAGCCUUGCAAUAGAUGACAUUCCAAAUGCAAUGCAGCAUAAACAGACGUUUCAUGUCACAGAUUGAUUGUGAUGGGCAACAGUGCUUGUGCUUGUACACGACCACAAGAUUCAUGCAGGUCAAACCAUCAAAUGAUUAAAUUGAAGCAAAAUGCUAAGUCAUCAUCAGUGAGUAAUACAUACAAUGCUACUUUCACCUCUGCUUCACCUAAGGUUCCUUGGGAGCUUUUGCAUUUACUCAAAGUAAAAAGAGCACAUGUUGCAAAUGAGAGGCCACCUUUUUUUGAGCUAAUAAGAAAAAAAAUGACCCUUCGCUUAUUUCAACUCAAUAUGAUAUGACAGAGAGUUAUACAGCUCAUUCCAUGAUAUAAUGGAGAAAGUAGAGUAUCUUAGCAAACAGGGAACAUUUUCAAUGUCUUGUAUCUAAGGUCUGUGGCAUUUAUUACAAUAACGAUAGCAGCACACUGCCUGUAUGUUGUUCACUAAUUGAGAAUUGCUCAAUAUAUGAGCCAUACAGGCCUUUUAAGUCAGGUGCUAAAUAACUGUAACAAAAAACAAAGUCAAUUUAUCUACCUAUAUGAAGAAAAUGAUAUAUUAGUCUGCAAAUAGUGGGCUAUAUUUCUUAUACCGAUGAAGAAACUACAAAAAUCAUCAAGAGAAGCAUUUGAAAUCCAAGAACAUGCAUUACCUUUGGGUAUUGCAUAGGUGGCAACCGCGGCUCAGGCAGAUCAUCUGGAAAGAAUGCGUGCUCAUCUGGGCUCUUGUAUCUCCCAACCUAUAUUUAAAAACAUCAGCAUAUUUUAUUCUUUUGCAAGUCAUGAUCAAUUAUUUUUGUUAAAAAAAGAAACCCAAAUGGAUUCACCUGCGCAUGUAGCUUUUCAGUUUCUCUAACUAUGUAUUCAACCAAAGAUCCUUCAAAACCCUCCAUGUGGAAAGAAUUGCUAUCAUAUGUAUCAGCAUUGUAACGGUACUGGGCUCUCUCCAAGAGGCCGAAUAUGAUGCUGUCUUCUAGUCUAAUCAAAGUUUGUCUGAUGCUAUCCAGUGUCAAUAUUUCACUUCGAUCAACCCUCCCUUCCCUAGCAAAAGUGAACAAUUAAGAAAAAAGAAUGAUCAGUUCCUUCAGUAUAACCCAAACCAGCUUUAGCAACAAGAAAAAGCAGUCAAAGGAUAACAUAAGAGAGUCAAGUCUUUCUGCAAAAAGCAACAAGGUUAACAUCCAUAGUGCUCCAUGUCAAUUCCCUCAAGAUUCCACUUACAUUUCUGGAAUAGUUUCACCAAAAUUCAACGAAGCUUCGUCACAAAGAAAUUAGAACAUACAAGUUAUCAAAGCACACUAUUAAUUUUUUACCACCAAGUCUCCAGACCUAUCAUUGGUGGAAGUGAUGAACAACAUAGCUGGAAAUUUCCACAGUAUAGUUGCAACAAUGUGAACAUGUAAUGCCUACAGGCUACAGCAUGCUUUUGGCUAAAGUCAUGACUUCCAAGUCAACUCUACCACCAAAUAGUAAGUCAUGACUUCAAGUCAACGUCACAGGAUAUCAACACCACGUCCAUUUUUACACAAUAGUAAACUCUCUGUUCUUAGAGAAAUAAUUCAACAAGGAGUUCCCCAACUUCUAGGAGAUCAACCCAAUCACAGGAAAACAGCCACAAUUGCCAAUACAAUCACCGCAAAACAGCCACAAAUUGCCAAUUCAAUCACCACAAAACAGCCACAAAUUGGAUGCCUGAAUUCACGCAAUCAUUCUCUAAAGCACAGAUGGUUGGAUUCAGAAGGACUAGUCUCGGAAACGGAAUGGCUAGAACACCAACUCUCCCGAUUCAUAACCAACGCAAACCCAAAUCCGACUCCAGGAUCAGCACAGGAAAUUACCACACUGCAGCCAGCCGUACGCGCGCAAGCACAAACCUACAUACCCUCCCACGGAACCAAGCGCAGCACAAAAUAGGCAGAAACUGGAUGCCCGAAAUCAUGCAAUCAGUAUCUAAAUUAUGUACGGUCGGAUUCAUCAUCAGGAUUAAUGCCAGAAACGGAAACACUAGACCACAAACGCUACCAAUUGAUACACCACAAAUCCAAACCCCGCUUCCAGGAUCAGAGCAGGAAAUUACCACAGUGCAGCCAUCCUUACACGCGCAAGUACAAACCUACAUACCUCCCCUCCCACGGAACCAAGCGCAACACAAAACAGCCACGAACUGGACGCCCGAAAUCACGCAAUCAGUAUCUAAAGCAUAUACUGUCGGAUUCAUCAGGACUAAUCUCAGAAACGGAACCGCUAGACCACAAACUCCCCCAAUUGAUACACACAAAUCCAAACCCGAUUCCAGGAUCAGCACGGGAAAUCACCACACCGCAGCCAUCCCUACACGCGCAAGCACAAGCCUACACACCUCCCCUCCCACGGAACCUACUACCAAGCGCAGCAACCGCUCGUCACACCAAACGAGUCCCACGAGGAGGAGAACCCAAUCGGAGUACGUACUUGGCCACGGGGGUCGCGGAGUUGUUGGCGGUCGCGCGCAGCGCCUUGGUCCCGGUCGCCGCCGAGCCGAGCCCGAAGCCGACGCGGCUCCUGCCCUGCGCUCCUUCUCCCCGGUGCGCGUGCGCGGGCGCGGGCGACGCCGCCGCGGCCUUGGCGGCCAGCUUGAACUCCAUCGUCGCCACCUACCGCCCCGCCACGAGCACCUGGAAUUCGGGGGUGCUCGCGGGAGGUGGGAGGGAGGGAGAGGCUGGUAGGCCGGGGAAAUGCCGGGGGAUUUAUUUGUAGGUGGUGGGGGCGGCCGGACGGUGAGGAGGGGGGUGUUCGGUCGAGAGGGAGAGGCGACGCGAUGGACUUGGAGAAGUAGGUGGGACUUGGUGGGGUCAGGAGUGGGAGGGGGGGGGGGGGGGGGGGGGGGGGGUGGUGCGGACGGGCCGUAGAGGAAGAGAGGAAGCCAGCCAGCGAGCCAGGCCAGGUCGCCAGGAGGACGGGGUAGGCCGGGAGGGGAUGGGGGAUCGGAAUCGGGGGGCGUCGGCGCGUGGAAAAGUGACGCGCGGCGGGGUCGUGCGGUGGGGUUAGGUUGGGGUGGGGGCGCGCGGGCGUGGCGUGCGUCCCGGUUUGCGGCGGAGCUGUCCGCUUGCUGGCGCGCGACUGGUGAGGGGUCCGUUUGGUACUUCGGGUGGUUGGUCUCGAGCGCUUCCGGAUUGGUGAGGAGGCUCCUGUUGUGAACCAUUUGGUGAUCAACACCAGUACCUAUCAUUAGCGGUUACUUACCGAAGGGGUCUCGCACCCAUUCACAUGACCAUUUCAUCAUGUAUAUGUAUACACAAACAGUCCCAUACUCUUAACACGUUAUCACGCAGGCAUGCUCGAACACUAAUGAGUUCGGCCACAAGACAUUCAUGGCGACGAUGCAGUUCCUGGCGUCCUGGUCGCUGGAGAAGAACAGAAGCACAAAGUCGAUCAAUGUCGAAUCCAAGACGAACAAGCAGAGAUUCGAGCGAUGAUGAACAAGCACUUCUUGCUGCAGUGCAUCACCAGUGGCGUCUUCAGCGACGCCCUUGAACAUGUCUUGCCCAACGCCGGCGAAGCAUCCAUCGACUUCAGAAGGAGAAAUCAACAUCAGGAUUUCACAGAUAAGUGACGGCACCGUUCUUACCUUGCAAUGUCCGGCGGCGACCGUCGCACGUCUACUCACGAUCCUGCGGCAACCCCGCCCGCGGCAAGCCCGCCAGCGCCCCUGCGUCAGCGGUGGCGUGCUCCCACCUGCACCCCAGCAGCCGGCGGCGGCGUCCUUGCACCCGAGACGGCGGCGGCCGAUCCAGCGGCGGUGGUCCCAGCAGCACCGGUCCUGCACCGGCUGCGGCCCCGCGCGAGCGGCCUCAUCGCCGUACAGCAACGGCUGCCGGACAUGCCCGCCCGCACCGGGAAGCAGCGGAGCAUGCCUGCACGCUCGCCUGCAUCCCUGCGGGAGGCGGCGGUGCCCGCUCGUCAGCGCCCUUGCGGCUGCGGCGGCGGCGCAUGCCGGCUUUGGUGGCGUCUUCGCCCGGAGCAGCUCACCGGCAGCAGCGGCGGGUGGCAAGCUCGACCGUCCGAGCCCGCGCCCCACCGGCGGCUGUGCACGACCACUCGCGCCCUUCGAUGCUUCGGCAGCGGCGGCGGGUGGCGGUGUCCACAUGCACCCGGUACGGCGGUGCUCGAGCCCCGAUGGUUCGCACCGCUGGCCGGCGGAGGCGGCCGGGUCCAAAGGCGGCGGCGACGGUCGGACCAGAGGGAGGGGAUGGAAACCCUAACCGCUCCUCCUUCAUCCUCGCGGACGCAUAUGGGCCGGCUCAAAGGCCCAAUAGGCUUCGGCCGGAUGCGGUUCUGGUCUGUAGCCAGCAUGGGCUCGCCCCAACGACCAUUUCAAUUUUUUUCUUUUUCAGCCACGAAUCUACAUUAAACCCAUGCCUUCAAUGUAUUUUCUGUGCUGAAAAUUUAAUAGAGUUUAUCUGAGUCUGCAUAAAUAUGUUUUAAUCCCUGAAUUUAACAGUUUUAAUAUGGUAGAGUAAUUUACUCCUAUAUUUCAUCAGACCCAGAUAUUAUGUCUGUUUUAUAUAUGUCUUCCAUGCAUAGUACUAAACAUACAUUGUUUGUUGCCUUGUUCAUUUGGCAACUUAAAAAUUCUCUUAAUUAACUCUUAAUUAAGUAUCACUUAAUUAGUGAUGGAUUUUAUGCAAAAUAAUCAAUACAUAUCUUGAAUAAUUUAUUUGGGAUUGGAACACAAGGUGAUGGAGUCUUAGACAUCGAUUGUAAUAUGUUCAUUUUGAAUAUAUUAGCCCAGAGACCAUGUCUACUAGCAGCGAUAUAUUCACUAAUUACUGAGAGGUCUACAUCAUGAUUUGAUGAUUACCUACAAAGUAAAUGUUUGGAAAUUGUAAAAUGGUCUUUCAUUACCAUUAUUUAUUGUCAAAUGGUUAUACACAGGGUAGUAGAGCCUUAGGCAUUGGCUGCAACUUAUUCUUCCAGAAUUUAUUUUGCCUACUAGCGAGAGAUCUACUCUAAUGUUUAAUUACAUGAAGAUUAUCUAAAAGUGUAUAUCAACAUUGACAAUGACACAAUUGUUGAGGUUUACACUAUUGUGUGAUUACCUCCAAUUAUUCCAAACCACAAGAUAUGGAUUUCAGAUUAUUUUUGCAUCAUGAUUACAACAUUACCUUAGUGAUUCUUAAUUUACCAUCAUGUAAAUUAAUGAAACCUAUGAUUAUGCCUUGGAAGAAAAUGACCUCCAACUAACUUUGCAUCUCAACGACUAUUGGUAGCAAUGAGUGAACCCUAGAAGGGAUCCUCCGCUCCUAGUCAGAUGAAGUAUGGUGUUCUCUUUUAUUACGGUUCUAUUUCCAUAAGAAGUUCAAGCAUUAAUAUCUAUUGGAAUUGAACUGACGUGCUUUGUGGCUUGCUCUCAAAAGAGUGCUAUGAACAACAAAAGAACUCAUAUGAUUUCAAUUAUAAGUUGAACCAUGCAUGUAUGUCUCCAGGAUUUUAAAACUGCUAUAGACUACAAAUCUUGUUGUUCAUAAUAUUUGCUCUAAGUUGAAGUCUCGCAAAAUUACGACUAUUGUUCUCAACUCAUCAUACACUGACCUACGUUGAAAAGCUUGAUGAAUUUCUUUUGAAGCAUCAUCAUUAGUACCACAUUGGUAUGGAGCUUAUCCCUAAGGUUCAUAGUAUUUGAGUAAUGUUGAGACUAACAAGAGUUCUAAUGGAUAUACUUCUAGAUCCAAUGAACUCAUUUGGUGAGUGCAAACGCAACAGGAGGCAAAUAUCCAUUGCAUAAAGAUAAUAGAGAAUUGUGCCAUAAUUCCCUAAAAGGAUGCAAACUCGCAUAAAUAGCAGAAAAUAGUGUAUCGUUUUGGUGAUUACCUUCUAUUAUAUCACAGAGACUACAUUUUGACAAUAAUUUUGCAUCAUUUGUUCCCAAAAUUGUAGCAGCGACUUCAUCGCCUGUGAAUGGUAAUCCAAAAUCAAGUGUCACCUUGAUACCAAAAUUGGCAAUACUAUUUUUUAUGCUUUUGUAGUUUACUCUUUGUGUAAAUUAAUUUCAUACAUGAUUAACUCAUGUAGUACAUGGUUCAUAUUUUCAAGAUGGAAAGUUUCUCCAAACUUGCAUUGGAUGGGACUUAUUAUCCACUGGUGAGGGCUAAUGGUUGUAAAGCCACUAUAACCAAUAUCCAAUCCAAAUGCUCAGCCAUUUGUAUAGUUGACCAUUGUGCAACUUUACAUUUUUGUUGCAUCUCCUUUCCUAAGAUUUCUAUGAAAUCUUAAUGGAAAAAGAUCCACUUAUUCUUUGUGCUCCUUCAUGGAAUGAUUAACAAAGAAAGUAUUAUUGUCUAAAAUAUAAAUGAAUGCUUGCACAUUCGUUUACCAUGACUUCUAAGUUCUGGACAAUUUUACAAGUUUCACCUGUCAUAUGACAUGUAAAAACAUAAUGGACCUAAAGAGAUAGCAACCAUUUGAGAUAAUGACUAUAAUAAUGUGACGAAUCAUCGCUCACUCCAUAUCAAUGAUCUCAAAUAUUUUGGCUGAAUUAUAUCUCCAAAUCAUUGGAGAAUUGCAAGUUUAGGGGUGAAAUUUUGAUGCUUACUUCAACAUGUGAGACCUAUUGCGUCUCCAUUUCUUAGAAAUAUUAUGCUUUUGUCUACUCAUAUCAUGUACUUCAUACAUGAUGCUCAUAUUUUAUAUGAGUUUUGCUUACUCAUAAUAGAAUCAUUUGAGAUUUAAACUAGAUGGUGAAGAAAUUUUAAUUGGUGGGCAUCGUGAUGAGGACAUCAACACCAACGAUACAUCCACCCCUACACAAGUACCAGAUUCUGGUCCUAUAACUCGCGCCCGUGCUCGUCAACUUAAUCAUCAAGUAAGUUCACUCUUCAGUUCCUGUCCAUCCUAUUUAGACCAUGGAGAUGCGUGCACUCUUGUUUUAGUUAGGAACCAUGGAGAAGACCGAAAGGGAAACGGACUCGCGCAGGCUAGAUUCGGACUCCAGGACAGUACCAACUUGUGAUGGUCACCACGGUCGUAUACGGACACGGAUUGGGACGUUCAAGUACUUCACGGAUUUGUUAUGAAGUCUAUUUUCAUAUGGAUCUGGACUCAAGUCUAUAUCUAAUCUGAGGCGGUCGCAAUGACCAAUUCACUACCGAUAGGUUUUCUGGUGCUGCGUCACCUCAUUUUGGCCCAAUGGGCCGUGUAUGAAGUUGGGUCCAUUAGGGACAUGUCCUAGGGUUGGAGCAUGACCCCAACACCCUCCUGGUCAUCCUCCUAGGCAUUAGUAAGGAUUAGAGCCGCCACAAACAUAUUAGGUUUUGUUUAGAUCAAGUUUAGCUCUCGCUACUUGCUUGUAAGCGCGCGUGCUGGAUCAGCCGCCCGUCUUCCUGUCUUCGAAACCCCACCUUAUUGAGAUUGAGUUGGAAACCUUCAUCUUCAUCUAGUAAAUUCAGUACUUGUUAUACUUGUUCUUGCUAGUUCUUCGAUUGCUUGCAGGACGAGUGCCCUAGUGGCCGGGUGACACGCUCCACAAGAUCGCGACAGCCAUUGGAGGUGGUGUAUCGGUUGCUAAGGUGCGGCUUGGAAGGCUGUAGUCGGGCCGUGAACGUCGUCUCCAUCGACCAAUCGAGUUAUCCCACGCCUCUCAUCGAAAGAUCGGGAAUCAACCCUAACGGGUUCAUAUCACAUCGUAUCACUAACACAAGUAUAGGAGAUUACGCUCUCUCUACAGGUAUUUUAACAUCAUUCAUUGAUACACUCAUGUAUCCGAAUUCUACAAAUACUCUUAUGAGUUUUCAUGAUAUCCUGUGUGGUUUCCAUAUCGAAACUCAUUACUUAGAGUAAUGAUGUGAAUCAGCACUCGGUACAAUGGAUGAAAACUAAAUACUUGUGGCAACUUCUUCCAUAUCAUCAAAUAUGUAUUAUAAUACAUCAAUCCCAUAUCAUAUGUUGCAUACAAAAUAAUUUUCUCUCUUGAUGAAAUCAAGAUUUAGCAUAAUUGCCUGGUCAUUCUACCUUAGGAUGAUGAGAAAAUUAUUAUCAAUUCUAUUGGUCACAACAUCAAUUCCCCAAAUCAUCAGAUUUGAUGUGCAUCACUUGCACAAUAAGGGAAUUGAAUUUAAGGACCUCUUACCUUAGAAUCUGAAUAUGAGCAUCCGAUUUCUUUUUCAAGAAUAUGCAUGUGGCUCUAUUCAACCAUUGUGUGGACCAACUAGGUACUUUACAAUGCACCUUGAUGCAUAAUAUAGUCCCAUGUGUAUCCGUUGAGGUGGUACAAAUUUUGGAGCAAAUGAUUGAUCCUGGACACGGGAUCGCAUCCAUGAACUUGGAAUGGUUUGGCCUUUGGAACUAUAGCAUUAAGUACCUUAUGUCCAUAAUGGUCUAGUUAAAUCUCCAGUGAGGGAAAAUACUAUUUGCAUGACCAAAAUAGAAUUACAAAUUACCAACAUUAGUUGGUGGAACGCGGAUGUACACAUCGCAUUCAUUUCAAAUUCAUCAAACUGCAUUCAUACGGCUCCCUCCGUUGCAGUCUAAGUACGUGGAUAUUUGACUUUUAGUCAAAUUUUUAUCCCACCUGCGUGUUGGUUAUGUCUUGCACAUACCAAUAUCACCACCUCAGCAUACAUUCAUGGGCAUUGGAGAUCCUAGAGGUAUCAUUAUCCGUCAUUCAUAACAUACCUCGGAUCGUCCAUAGGGGAUUUAUUCAUAGCCCAUAUGCUGAUCACUUUGAUUAUGAUUCUAGGCAUUAGGGGGAGAUUCACACCACGCAUAGAUCGCCAGGAACCAAGAGUGAAUGUCACAUAUUGACAUCCCCCUCACAUGUAUCCAUGUACUGAAGAAUUUGGACUAUUAGUUCAGAAUCUUAUGUUUGCAAACCAUUGUAAAUAAUCUGCCAAAUGCAUUUACUCAUUAAAGGUGUCAUAUGAUUUCCAACCUCAUUGUGCUAGAAAGAGUAGAGGUACCUUUUCAAAACCACUCAACUCCCUAUAAGAGGGGGAGAAGUAUGGUUACAAGGGAUAUAGCUUCUUGCAAGAUUCUAUGGAAACAAAAGAGUAAAUGCUAAUCAACAUAAGUUGAUUGACACCUUAUGGAUAUUCACUAUCCAAAGCCUUUGGAUGUUCUACGUCCAAAAGACCAGCACAUGUGUACACAUAUUCAGGCGCUGGAUCAUUAGAACACCCUAACUCUGUCGUUGUGGGAAUUGACAUAGAGUUGAAGGGUUAAUAUUUUUACAAGCAAUAUUGGUUUUAUUGAAUCAAUCAUACAAAGUCUACAAAUAUCGACAUUUCUCCAUCUCAGAUUGCCGUGCACACUGUUCGCCUAAACGGCCGUUUAGUCCAUUUAAACAGUGUUUAAACGCUAAAUAAAGGCCUCUCGUGUUGUUUAGGUCCUAAACGGUGAAUUAAACGGUUGGACCGUUUAAACCCAUUUAAACCUUUAAAAACCAUCUAAUCCAUCUAAACAUAAUCGAGUUAAACGUGAUUAGAUGAGCUAAAUGACCAUUUAAUUCAUAAUUUAGUCAAUAGGAGGAUUACAACUACCACAAUCAACACUAAACUAAUUAGCAUCGUAAGUAUAUGAAGUGUUGUGGGAUUUAGAUUUCUUUCAAAAAGAUUAUUUAGUAGAAUACUUACAUUUUACAUUUGUAAAUAUGUAGACUUUCUAGCAUAUUUGACUUUUAUGUACAUAAAUAUGUAUAUUUUAGAGUUAUUAUACAAAACCAUUAGGUCAUUUAAUCCUAUUUAAACACCGUUUAAACAGCCUAAACACUAAACAAAGGAUGACCGACUGUUUAUCGUUUAGCGUCGUGCACCUACUAGAUCCAGACCAAAAGUCCUAGGCAAGAGUGUUUAUACACUCAUUUUGGGUCAAUCAAAGGUGGCAAUCGAGGAGAAUUGCUCUUGCUAAAACAAUGAUUGAGUAAUAUCUUACUCUCAUAAUGCUUUCUUUACGAAAGCAAGGUGGUGAGAUAGCAAGAGCUUGUAGUUUAUGGUUUCACGUAGAGACCUAGCUAGCAUCCCUCGGUAUGUGUGAAAAUUAUGUUCCUAUAAUUGAUCAUUGGCGGAUCUUGUGAAUUUGAUAGAUUCGAAUAUACCAGUCCCUAUGGAUUUUGUGUUCAGAAUCAAAAUCGCAACAUACAUUUUGUACAACUCUUCAAGUCACUCCAUGACUUGAAACAGUUAGGUUUGAUUAUGGUACAACCAACUUGGUGAGUUCCUUCCUCCGAAGGGUUAUUUCCAACCACGAUGAUUGCAUAUGUGUGUUUGUAUUGGAUUUUCUAUCAUCUCCGAUCACACACAAUAAAUCAUGCAAUCAUCUUAAGACAGAUUAUGAGGUGAUGAUUUGGAUAAAACCAAAUUAUGCUUAAGUCUACAACUUAAGUAUAUACAUCGGUCUACCAAUAUCCAAUGAUAUUGGACAUAAUAUCCAUUGACACUGGUCAUUUAAUCCCUAAAGUGGAUCAAUGUCCAUUUCGGCCCUGGGAUUAAACCUUUGUGCCAUCAAAGCGCAUAUGUAUCUUGCAAAUUGCAACAUGUCUCAUAUUGCAUUUGCAGAUACUUGCUAGCUUAAAAUAGCGCAACUCCGAUAACGCCACUUGGCUAGAGAAGGAUAUCCAUUGAUAUCUAUAUGGUACUAAAUGACCUUGACUUGUUGUUAGAUACGUUUAGAUACGAUCAUAGUGGGAUAUGAAGAUACUAGCCAAUUAAUCCCCAUAAUGUAUGCCAGAUCAAAGACCGAUACCUUUGUGGUAGAGUUCUCAUGGGAGUCAUCAUAGACUCUAAUGGUUACUUCCACACAUCAUUCCGAAGCAUCAUAUAAAAACCUAUGACUUCGUUGAGGGAUUAAUUAUGAUUCCAUUGAAUCAUAGCCAUUAUCUAUCAAGAUAAUGGUGCUUGUAUUGCUUGGAUGCAAACAGGUUAUGUGUGAGCAAUAUCACUAUAUUGUCCACAAAAUGGUUUAUCCUCAGGUAUUGUUGUAAUACAUUUGAGGAAUAACCAGAUUACAAAUUAAACAUGCAAGUACUUUGCAAGUUUAUUCACAAAGUCUCUACCAACUCUCACACUUUAAAAGUGUGUAGAAUUGGUAUGUGAUGACUUUGAGGUUUGCAAGGUUCAAGGGGAGUCUCCUCAUGAAUUAGAACCUAUUCAUGCAUCAUAUUGUACUCUUUUCUUUUUAUGAGCUUUCCUCUCAAGGUUUCUCAUAUAAAAAUUUUUAUGAGGCAAUAUCAAUACAAGAAUAUAUAUCAUAUCUUCUAUUUCCCCACCGGGGUUUUUAAAGGAGGUAUGCAAGACAUAUCAUGUCAUAUCUUCUUCUCUAAAAGGAAUUAUUGAGAGGAUAUCAAAGACAUGCAUUGCUCCCUAAACUUUUAUGGGUUUUGUGAGUGAGCAAUGACCAUAUAUAUAUGCCAUAUCAUUUUCUCCUUACUUUUCCCAUUGGGUUUUGAAGGAGUUUUGAUGGCAUAUCCACAUGUACAUUCCUCAUAUUUUUCCCACAUGGUUUUUCGAGGAAUUAACCAAUACAUUGAUCUUAUUGAUGGAGUUGAUCAAGGGGGAGUGUUUUGAACCAUUUAUUGGUGAUCAACACCAAUAGCUGUCAUUGGUGGUUACUUACCGAAAGGGUCUUGCACCCUUUCACUAUGAUCAUUCAACAUUAUAUAUAUGUACAAACAGAUCAAUGCAAUACACAGAGAAUUCCACUCUUGUCAUGUGUCUUCCAUUUACAUUUCAGUAAAUCUACUCUUAACAGCUCCAACGAAGAUGUGGGGUUUGCUCGGUGGUGGUGCGUGGCGUUGCCGGGUGGUCGUGGCGCGUGGCCCAUGCCAUUGCCAGGGCGGCACGGUGGGUCGUGGUCUAGAGUCUGGACGGGUUGUGUUGUGUGCAUGCAUCUCGGGUCAGAACCGGAUACUGGCAAUCUAGCCAUUUCUAAUUUUGUACGAGCGUGAUUACCUUUGGGUUUUUUUUUGCGAACAAACAUUUGACGGUUGGGUCUACCAUUUAGCGAAGAGAGGCCGGCUAAAAUAGACUUUCUAACCUCGAGACACAUUUAUUAAAAAAAAACUCGAGGCAAACGUUAGAUGUUUGGCUCACGGAGUAGUACAGAUUCUUCCUUUCUUCUUGGGGCUAUUUAGCUUCCACUCGAGUGUUUCAACUUUCCUUCACACAUGAAAUUUUCCAACCGUUGGAUCUGCAUAUGACGUCUAUUGUUGUUUCUUCUUCCUUCCUUCUUCUUCCUCAGUCCUUCUUUCUCCUUCGAAACAAAACAGCGGAAGCUUCCUCCUCAACGAGUCAACACCGGUGACCCUACCCCGCCAUCCUUCACCCCGUCUCCAGCGGCUCUCGCCGCCGAAUCCGCCGCCGCUCCCCACCCGCACGCUAACGACUCUGGAUUUGGUGCCCUCACCCCACCUGGCCCAACCACCAUCCUCCACUGCCCGGAUGGCGGCGCCACCGCCGUCGUGCCUCGCCGCCCCCGCGCCCACCACCACCGCCUGUCCGUCCUGCCACCUUCGGACCUCUGUCUUUGCCCUGCAACACCAGGAACCCAGGGCCUGAAUCCCCCAUCCCCAAACCCAAAUCCCCUAAGGCCCUAACCUCUUGCCCUCAUCGGAGCUCGCCGGAGAUGGAUCAAAUGGAGCUGGGUCUCACCGGAGAUGAAGAAGAUGGGUCAAAUCUUGGUGAAGAUGCAGAAGAUGGGAUGACGAGAAAAUUCGAGUGUGGGAAGCCAAAGAAAUGCGCUAGCACAGUAUAGCUUUCCCCUUCUUUUUUCUCGGUUGAUUGGUAGUUCAAUUCCCAUAAGAAUCAGGGAAAUCACAUGCUCGCCCUGGUGUCCCAAACAAGGAACCAUUAGGUUGCACUGUGGCGAACGUGUACCGCGUCUUUGACUAUAGAUAUAUAAAUAGGUGAAUUCAGGAUUUGCUACUUGGUUUGUCAUGAAAAUGGCAACACAUGAAGCUGCAAUCAUAAUUUUCAAUCGUUCAAUGGCAGCUUUCAGCGGCACGAAGAGUUAAAGACCGACCAGCAGUCGGCAUGAAGAGUUGAAGACCGACGUUUCUGCGCUCCAUCUAGGCAGGCACGACUAAAUGUGCUAGAGUUUUCGGCGGCAUCGUGACUGUAUUUUAUCACCGACAACAGCAGGUCUCCUGGAAUCUUUUCCCAAAACAAAAGGCUUUCACAAGCAGUCAACAAAAUCUGUUGUUUCCACGAAAGCAGAGUCCGAACAACCAUAUGUGAAGCCUUCGCCAAGAUUCUAUGCACCACACAAGUUGCCAGUAAGAUCGUACGCGGUAUGCACAAUUGUCCAUAAGAGGGUACGGAAAAAAAGAUGAUAUGGAAGAAUCAUUUUCUUUUGUUUUUUUACAUUUGUUGAGGGUGUAGCGUAAAAGCAAGGUAGCCGUAGCUUCUCUCAAGGAUGGCUCUAUUUAUUGGCUAUAACUUUUUACAUGUAACUUUAUCAAAUUAUUCUUUUUAUAAAUGAAUGGAAAAUGUUAUAUAACACUCGAGUGUUUUAGCCUCCACCAGCACUCUCUUUCCGUCACAUGCAUAGGCUGGAGCAGAGAAGUCUUCAUCUUCCUCAACUCCGACGAUGGCUCCGACGAGGUUAAGAUUCGAGCUUUGACGUUCGGGUUUGGGGUUUGAAUUUUGGGACUGGGGAUUCGAUGCCGACAAGUGGCAGCGGCCUUAGAGGGACCUCGCCAGUGGUAGGUGUGACCGGUGGUGGAGCGGUGAGGCAAGGCGGCGGUGGCGCCGUCAGCCGGGGCGGCGGAGGAAAACCGGUGGGCGGGGGCGACGAUGACGACGAUGAUGGGUGGAGGCGGCAGCGGCAAGGGCAGCGCGGCUGCUGCUGCAGUCGGGCUAAGGUCUCAUCGAAACUUCACGGCGGCGCGUAGUGGCGCAGGGGACUGGAUAGUUGGGAAGAAGCUCACGGCUGGAGGUAGAAAAUGACUAUAAUCCAACUGUGUAAAAAAUCGAGUGUGCAGAUGAUCCAAAACACUCUGAGUUGCAUAGCUUGAGGUUUAGCAAAAUUCCUAAUAUACAGCCACAAUCCGAGAUUAGCAAAAUUUUGCCAUUCAAUUGAUAAGCUCAAACCGGUCGCAUGAUGAGUGUUCCGUACAAAUCAUCAAGAGGAAAGAGAUGUUGCCACAAAUGAAUAGGCCAUGUUUGAUUGACUUCCACACCUUCGCCGCAACUCACCACGCUGGCAUCCUUGGCAUCCAAAUGUGACGCGCAUAAAAAGAAUUAUGAUGACCCAUGUAUGCCCGUUUGGUUCGUUAGGAUUUCCUAGAAUUUCUAUCAAAUCAAAUGUUUAGAUACUAAUUAGGAGUAUUAAACAUAGACUAAUUAUAAAAUCAAUUGCACUGACGAAGGUUAAUUUGCGAGAUGAAUCUAUUAAGCCUAAUUAGUCUAUAAUUUGACAAUGUGGUGCUACAGUAAACAUGUGCUAAUGAUGGAUUAAUUAGACUUAAUAGAUUCGUCUCGAGAAUUAGCCUCCAUCUGUGUAAUUAGUUUUAUAAUUAGCUCAUGUUUAAUUCUCCUAACUAGCCUCUGAAUAUUUGAUGUGAUAAAUUUUAGUCGGGACUAAAGAUCCGGACGACCUAGGAUACUGAAAAGUAAGGGCCCGUUUGGUUACUUUUGCUUAUUUUUAGCAUGUGUCACAUCGAAUGUUUAGAUACACUAAUUAGAAGUAUUAAACGUAGACUAUUUACAAAACUCAUUACAUAAGUGGAGGCUAAACGGCGAGACGAAUCUAUUAAGCCUAAUUAAUCCAUCAUUAGCAAAUGUUUACUGUAGCAACACAUUGUCAAAUCAUGGACUAAUUAGGCUUAAUAGAUUCGUCUCGCCGUUUAGCCUCCACUUAUGUAAUCGGUUUUGUAAAUAGUCUACGUUUAAUACUCCUAAUUAGUAUCUAAAUAUUCGAUGUGACGGGUGCUUAAAUUUAAGCAAGUGAACCAAACCAGGCCUAAACUGCAUUGGGCAUCGACCGAGCACACUCCCAAGUCCCAACCAAACGAAAACAAUUAUGAUGACCCAUGUAUCCGUGUUCUAAGCUUAGGUCACACGCCAACCCUCGGCUCCAUGCCUCCAUCCAACAAUGUUUCUUUCUCAUUCCCGAAGACAUGGUCUCAUACUCUCAUCCGCGAGCCAAAACAUGAUCGUCAAGCCUGUGUCCCCGGAAAUACAGACCCGACGCGACGUUAACCAGCUGCCUAAAGAAAGAACAAAGUCCCCUCGAUGGCCCGGCCGGCACAAAGUCUCGCGACGAACAGGCAGCGGGGGGUUGCAUCAACCUUUACGACACAGAUGCUCGAAGCUUUUUUCUGCUCCAAAGAGAAGCUUUGGUAGUUCACGACACGAGCAGGCAGGAGUACGCAAGUAACGAAGCGGCAUGAGUAGACUGUGUUGUGCGGUCGUUGAGGUCAGAGAUCAUUCUUUUUUCUAAAAAUGUAAUGAAUGGGAAUCUGUAAAGUGAUUAAAAAUGCAGAGCUCUAAAAGUCUUCAAAAUCUAAAGAGCUCUAAAAGUCUUGCUAAUAUUGGUCAUUUCCUAUUACCCCGAAAAAGUCUAAAGAGCGCUAAUAUUGGUCAUUUCCUAUAUUAUGCUGGAAAAGUGAUAAAAAAGUACACUUAUAGGUCGAAGAUGGGUGGAUCUUGCUAAUAUUGCAAAUUUACGUAAUAGGAAAUGACCGAUCUACAUCACUGAGAUAACCUUUGUAAGGCGCCUCGGUUUUUUCUCGCAGUUCGUUGCGUAGGAGUAUAGGACCAUGCAAAGGAGUUGGGGAAAGCUAUACCACACGGGAGCAUUUUUACUGCUCCCCACACUCGAAUUUAGCUGCCCAGCCACAACAGCUUCUUCCAUGCUACAACAGCUUCUUGAGCUCCGGCACCACCUUCUUCUUCAGCUCCGGCCGAGUUAGGUUUCCGGGUUGGGUUCGGGGUGGAGGUUACCUCUGGUCUCUGGAUGUAGAGGGAGCUCCGGGGUGGUCGCUGGUCGGCGGUGGUGGCGGUCGAGACGGCGGGGGAGCGGAGGUGGCGAGGCGGCGGUGGACCCUUGGUUGGGCGGUGGUGGCGGCGGGGGCGAGCACCGGCGACGAGUUAUUGCGCGAGUGGUCGAGACGGCGGCUGCGGAUCCAGCGGCGGGAGCCACUGGAGACGGGCAAGGCGGCGGUGGAGGCGGUGGCGAACGGCGGAGGCGAGCUUGGACGACCGGAGCAACAGCGGAGGGUGGAGAUAGGUGGGAGGAGGGAGGGGCGGUGGGGGAGGGCGGGCCUUGCCGACGUUGGGGACGACGCCGGCGAGGCGACAGGGUGGAGGCGGCGGGCGGCGUCGGGGUCUCGACCUCUCGGAGAUGAACCGGCGUGCGACUGGAUGUUUGGAUAGGGAAAGGUUUGGGCUGCGUGGGGUGGAGAAGAUAAGGUUAGAGGAUGGUUGGAUUUAGACCGUUCGUCUCAGAUCGAAUGGUCAGCAAAUUCGAGUGUGGGAGGGGGUUAUUAUACACGAGUGGGACAAAGACACCCCCAAGGAGUUUAUGAC
rnacentral:lncRNA from 1 species